AUUGAACGCUGGCGGCAGGCCUAACACAUGCAAGUCGAACGAGUGGCGGACGGGUGAGUAAUGUCUGGGAAACUGCCUGAUGGAGGGGGAUAACUACUGGAAACGGUAGCUAAUACCGCAUACCAUCAGAUGUGCCCCGAUGGGAUUAGCUUGUAGGUGGGGUAACGGCUAACCCAGGCGACGAUCCCUAGCUGGUCUGAGAGGAUGACCAGCAAAACUGGAACUGAGACACGGCCCAGACUCCUACGUGAGGAAGAAGUGGGGAAUAUUGCAAAAUGGGCGAAAGCCUGAUGCAGCCAUGCGGCGUGUAUGAAGAAGGCCUUCGGGUUGUAAAGUACUUUCAGCGAGGAGGCGUUACUCACAGAAGAAGCACCGGCUAACUCCGUGCCAGCAGCCGCGGUAAUAC
rnacentral:rRNA from 1 species